AUUGAACGCUGGCGGCAGGCCUAACACAUGCAAGUCGAACGAGUGGCGGACGGGUGAGUAAUGUCUGGGAAACUGCCCGAUGGAGGGGGAUAACUACUGGAAACGGUAGCUAAUACCGCAUACCAUCGGAUGUGCCCAGAUGGGAUUAGCUAGUAGGUGGGGUAACGGCUCACCUAGGCGACGAUCCCUAGCUGGUCUGAGAGGAUGACCAGCCACACUGGAAUGAAGACACGGUCCAGACUCCUACGGAGGGCAGAAGUGGGAAAGAUUUCACAAUGGGGGAAAGCCUGAUGCAGCCAUGCCGCGUGUAUGAAGAAGGCCUUCGGGUUGUAAAGUACUUUCAGCGAGGAGGCGUUACUCGCAGAAGAAGCACCGGCUAACUCCGUGCCAGCAGCCGCGGUAAUAC
rnacentral:rRNA from 1 species